rnacentral:rRNA from 1 species
CCUACGGGAGGCAGCAGUGAGGAAUAUUGGUCAAUGGGCGCGAGCCUGAACCAGCCAAGUAGCGUGAAGGAUGACUGCCCUACGGGUUGUAAACUUCUUUUAUAAAGGAAUAAAGUGAGGCACGUGUGCCUUUUUGUAUUUACUUUAUGAAUAAAGAUAGGCUAACCUCGUUACAGCCGCCGCGGUAAUACGGAGGGUCCGAGUGUUAUCCGGAUUUAUUGGGUUUAAAGGGAGCGUAGAUGGGUUGUUAAGUCAGUUGUGAAAGUUUGCGGCUCAACCGUAAAAGUGCAAUUGAUACUGGCAGUCUUGAGUGCAGUUGAGGUAGGCGGAAUUCGUGGUGUAGCGGUGAAAUGCUUAGAUAUCACGAAGAACUCCGAUUGCGAAGGCAGCUUACUAGACUGCCACUGACAUUGAUGCUCGAAAGUGUGGGUAUCGAACAGGAUUAGAUACCCUUGUAGUC